GUGGGAUUAGCUCAAUUGGUUAGAGCGUCUGCCUGUGGAGCAGAAGGUUGCCGGUUCAAGUCCGGUAUCUCACC
rnacentral:tRNA from 1 species